rnacentral:rRNA from 1 species
GAGUUUGAUCCUGGCUCAGGAGGAACGCUGGCGGCGUGCCUAACACAUGCAAGUCGAGCGAGAAAUAGUCAGACGGAGAUUUCGGUUGAAGGAUGGUUAUGGAAAGCGGCGGACGGGUGAGUAACGCGUAGGCAACCUGCCUCAUGCAGAGGGAUAGCCUCGGGAAACCGGGAUUAAAACCUCAUAAGGCCAAGGGGACACAUGUUUUCGUGGUCAAAGAUUUAUCGGCAUGAGAUGGGCCUGCGUCUGAUUAGCUGGUUGGUGAGGUAACGGCUCACCAAGGCGACGAUCAGUAGCCGACCUGAGAGGGUAAACGGCCACAUUGGAACUGAGACACGGUCCAAACUCCUACGGGAGGCAGCAGUGGGGAAUAUUGCACAAUGGGCGAAAGCCUGAUGCAGCAACGCCGCGUGAGCGAAGAAGGCCUUUGGGUCGUAAAGCUCUGUCGAUAGGGAAGAAAAAGGUGACGGUACCUAUCAAGAAAGCCCCGGCUAACUACGUGCCAGCAGCCGCGGUAAUACGUAGGGGGCGAGCGUUAUCCGGAAUUAUUGGGCGUAAAGAGUGCGUAGGUGGCUAGAUAAGCGUGGGGUGAAAGGCAGUGGCUUAACCAUUGUAAGCCCUGCGAACUGUGUAGCUUGAGUGCAGGAGGGGAAAGUGGAAUUCCUAGUGUAGCGGUGAAAUGCGUAGAUAUUAGGAGGAACACCGGUGGCGAAGGCGGCUUUCUGGACUGUAACUGACACUGAGGCACGAAAGCGUGGGUAGCAAACAGGAUUAGAUACCCUGGUAGUCCACGCCGUAAACGAUGAGCACUAGGUGUUGGUCUCGCAAGAGAUCGGUGCCGCAGUUAACGCAAUAAGUGCUCCGCCUGGGGAGUACGCACGCAAGUGUAAAACUCAAAGGAAUUGACGGGGACCCGCACAAGCAGCGGAGCAUGUGGUUUAAUUCGAAGCAACGCGAAGAACCUUACCAGGACUUGACAUCUGCCUGACAUUCCUUUAAUAGGGGAGUUCUUUUAGACAGGCAAGACAGGUGGUGCAUGGUUGUCGUCAGCUCGUGUCGUGAGAUGUUGGGUUAAGUCCCGCAACGAGCGCAACCCUUGUCAAUAGUUGCCAGCAGUAAGAUGGGGACUCUAUUGAGACUGCCGUGGAUAACACGGAGGAAGGUGGGGAUGACGUCAAAUCAUCAUGCCCCUUAUGUUCUGGGCUACACACGUGCUACAAUGGCCGGUACAGAGAGAAGCGAGAUAGAGAUAUGGAGCAAACCUCAGAAAACCGGUCCCAGUUCGGAUUGUAGGCUGCAACUCGCCUACAUGAAGUUGGAGUUGCUAGUAAUCGCAGAUCAGAAUGCUGCGGUGAAUGCGUUCCCGGGUCUUGUACACACCGCCCGUCACACCAUGGAAGUUGGGGGUGCCCGAAGUCGGUUAGGAAAUAGGCUGCCGAAGGCAAAACCAAUGACUGGGGUGAAGUCGUAACAAGGUAGCCGUAUCGGAAGGUGCGGCUGGAACACCUCCUU